rnacentral:lncRNA from 12 species
AAUAAGCAGUAGAUUUAUGUACAGAUGUGCACAUUAUGUGUACUACAUACAUGUACUGUAUACAGUGCUGUCUGUGAAAAAGGUUUUGCCCCCAUUUUUUUUUGUCACACUUGAAUGAUUCAGAUCAUCAAACAAAUUUUAAUAUUACACAAAGAUAACCUUAGUAAAAUGCAGUUUUGAAAUAAUGAUUUCAAUUAUUAAGGGAAAAAGCUGUCCAAACCUGCCUGGCACUACGUGAAAAAGUAAUUGCCCCCUAAAUCUAAUAACUGGUUGUGCCACCCUUGGCAGCAACAACUGCAAUCAGGCGUUUGAGAUAACUUUCACAUCGCUGUGGAGGAAUUUUGGACCACUCUUCUUUGCAGAAUUGUUUUAAUUCAGCCACACUGUAGGGUUUUCGAGCAUGAAUGGACUUUUUAAGGUCAUGCCCCAGCAUCUCAAUCAGAUUUAAGUCUAGACUUUGAUAUAUUACUGACCCCAAACUUUUAAACAACAGUGUACAGUAAGUUCACAUUGUUUUACUUGGUUUACUUUGUUUAAACUGUUUUUCUCAAAUUGAUACUUUUUCCUUCUCUUUCUAUCUUUUGUCUGACAGUUGUUUUAAUUUUAGCUGCAGUGCAAUUUCAUCUGCAAUCACGAUGGAGCAAAAGAAGAAAGCCUGGCCCCAUCUCCGUGAGAGAGCCAAACCCAAGUUAAUUCUGAAGAUCGGAAAGAAGGGUCUGGGGAAGAAGAAAAAGACCCCUCUGAAAUACAGGAGGAGUAUGUCAGUACCAGACCUCAGGAUUAAUCCCAGUGCCAUGCUGGAUUCUCAGGAUGAUUCCAGGACACCAGGUCAAGACUCCGUCUUCUUUGGAAACAUGGAGGGUAUAUGUGACUUGGAUGAAACAGCAAGUGAAACCUCUAGUACUGCCUUAUCUGAGCAGUUAAGUGUCACUGACAUGCCAUACUCCUGCAGCCCCGCGCCAUCAGUGAGAUCAGUUCCAGUUGACUUUCCAGUUUUAUUGGAAACUGAUAAGAGGCAAAGAGCCACGACAUGGUACAUAGAUGAUUUAGAUGCAGUGACUGGAUCUGUAUAUCCACCUACAGAAAGACAGAUGGCACCUGAAAGAAAAUUGCCAGGUCAGAGACCAAAAGACCCCACAGAUAGAGUGGCUGCAGCCCUUAGUAGAGCUGGUGCACAAGCUUCAGACGAAACCACCGCAGAGUCAGUCAGCAGUACUCCACCUGAGGAGAAGUGUCCUACCGAGCACCAGCCAUCCUCUCCAGUGGAAAUGUUCAUUGCAGGGAAAGCUGAGGACAUGGACAUUCCCAAUGAAACCAGUGACUUUGAUACCCUUGCAGAACAAGAACGAAACGUGAGUAUUUUAAUAAGAGGAAGAGUUGUCUUGAAGAAAAUAAAAACACAGUGUAGUAUUUCUUCAAGUACUUCACUCCAGAAUAGUCAUAAUCAUAAUUAUCAUCCAACAUUGACUAGGCCUAAGUCUUUAGCUCUCUACUUGUCAGUUCCCAGCAGGAUUAAAUGA